ensembl:lncRNA
CCUCCUGCAUUCCUCCUGGGACAUCUGGAAUCUCCUGGGACGGGAUCUGAUGUCCCACUGAGAACCUCAGGGCAGAAGCAUGGCUGCCACUGCAGCAGCUUCUCAGCUUCUUGUUCUCGGGCGGGGGGGGGGGGGAAGGGGUGGGCAUCCUUCCUGACACUCCAGGCUGCCUCCCUCUCCCUUCUCAUUGCAGCUUUGUGGGGUCAUUUUCUAAAACAUUCACCUGAGAGGGGAGGAAGGGUUACAAGGGCCUGUUUCUCCAGGUGACUUUUUUGUUAAAAGGCUGACUGGGAGAAUAUUUACCAUCCAAGUAGUCCACAGAGAUUGCCUUCCUAUGCGAAGCACUUAUUAGCUGAGAGUUCUCUGGGGUCCGAGCCAGAAAAAGAGACGGUGCUCCCUCCCCAGCAUCCCCUGGCCUGGCCCUCCUCUCGGCAGAGUGCUGUCCCCACAGAGUGCCAAGGCUGCCUACUAAAAAGCAGAUGCUCUAAGGUGAUAUUUCCCCCUUUUCCAAUCUCAGAAAAGCGGUCAGACUGGUUCUGAGCCUCCCCGUAGGCACGGUUCUUGGCUAUAAAAUGUGAUGUGCAGUGCUGGGUUUAAACAUGAAACCAGUGUAUCCAGGAUCGUUGGAGAUUUUCGCAGGGAAAUAUCUUGGAAAUGAUUUUCAGUUUCUCAGCAUCUUCCUUCAGUUCUGUUUUCUUUAGCAGAUGUACAGCGUGCACUUUUGCCAUUUCUUCAGUGUGUACAGACCAAAGAAGCAGUUUCCUCAGUAACGUCUUGGUAUAUAUCUGUUUUAACUAAUAUUUGAGGACUCAAGCAGCAGCAUAUUACUUCAAAACUCCCUCAUACACUUGAACUUGGAGAGAUACAGACGAGACUCAUAUUUCCUGUAUUAAAAUACUUGCACAAAAAACACACUCUUUCUGGUUUAUCAAACAAGCUAAUAUGUCUCUGGAGAAUUUUGAGUUCAGACAUGUGCUCUUCCUAUAGCUUCUACAUUUCAAAACACUGCUUUCUAACAUCAAACAACCAUUUUUACUUUUAUGAGAACACAGACCUAGAUUUCUUACAAUUUUAUAAUGAUGCUUCAGGCCUCCAAUUAAAAUACCUAGACAAUAUAGAUAUCUUUGGCCCAGUCCUCUGGACAAAUAUUAUUAUUAAGCUUCUCUCCAGGAUUUUUUAUUUGCAAAAUAUUUUGUGGGCUUUAGUCAUUUCAAAUUGCCUUAACUUUGCCCAUUUUCUCCAUGCUUCUCUGUUAUUCCUCAGGCAACCAUUUCGUUUUAACUCACAAACUACUCCUGUGAUGCAAGGUGAACUAAGCUAAUUUUUUUUACUGCAUUGGAAUGUUAGCCUCUGAGACUGUUAGCUUUUCCCUUAUCCUUUGCUGAACAUGGCAAUUUAAACCACCCCAGGAUUCAACUUUUAUUCACUUUUGCCAAGUUCACAAAGUAAAUUCCCUCUUUUCCACUCAAUCUGGGUUUUCUUCCUGCCCCCAAGGAACGGUGUUGUCACUGUAAUGUCUUCUAAUGCACUAUAAACGCUGUGAUGAAUUGAAGGCAGGCCGGUUUCUUCUGAGCAGGAGUCCAUUAUCCUGUCACAGUGUUCCUUCCCUGUAACUUAAUUUUUAUUGUAACAAAUGACUAAGUACCAAAAAAAUGAAACAGUGUGAUGGGCCAGUCUAAAGUGGCCUGACGCUGAUGGUAAGUGCAGCCGAGUGACAAUUGCUUGCAGCUGCCUUUAAGAGCUCUCUCCCUGAUGACAUCCACUAUCCAAAUUGGAGUUAUCAAAAGUGUUUUCUGGCUGUUUAUGUAAGAUCUUCAUCCACAGUGACUGACUAACAAUCCUAAUAUAAAUAAAGUGCUUUGUGAGAGAUGGAAGAGAAGUGUG